UCUCACUUUCUCACAGUACUGUUUCUCACUUUCUCUGCAACCGAAAAACCCUCCCUCCGUCGCCAGCCACAGCCACCACCGUUCGUCCCUCCGUCGCCAGCCACCACCGUUCGUCCCUCCGUCGCCAGCCACCACGUUCGUCCCUCCGUCGCCAGCCACCACCGUCGUUCUCUCCUCCGUCUGACUGUGCAAGUUACUUUGAAGUCUCUGGUUUCUACUUGUACAACGCCGAUUCAAACCUACCCAUCUCCCACAUCAAGUCUAACUAAGAAUUCCUUAGUACCUGAUAGAGAAACCAAGAAGCAUUUGUUUAGCUUAAUUAAGUCAUGGAUAAGACAUGGAUGAGAUCAAACCGAUUGUCGAAAGAGUACGAGAAAGGGGUAUGGGAAUUCGUUGAGUUUGCG